GCUCGCUUAGCUCAGCUGGUAGAGCACCUGACUCUUAAUCAGGGUGUCCAGGGUUCGAAACCCUGAGCGAGUACCA
rnacentral:tRNA from 1 species